rnacentral:rRNA from 1 species
CACGUAGGGCGCAAGCGUUGUCCGGAAUUAUUGGGCGUAAAGAGCUCGUAGGCGGACUGUCACGUCUGCUGUGAAAAGCUGGGGCUUAACCCUGGCCUUGCAGUGGAUACGGGCAGGCUCGAGUUCGGUAGGGGAGACUGGAAUUCCUGGUGUAGCGGUGAAAUGCGCAGAUAUCAGGAGGAACACCGAUGGCGAAGGCAGGUCUCUGGGCCGAUACUGACGCUGAGGAGCGAAAGCGUGGGGAGCGAACAGG